UUUGCAGGAUAAGUGUGUAUCGGUUAAAUGCCUCGUCUGUGCAUUUCUUGCCGAAAGUUUUUCCUUGCUAUAUUAAUUUGAGGAAAAUGGGCAGUUAGGUUGGGCUUGAUAAUCUCUUUCACUAACAAUCAUUUUCCUCUCAUUU
rfam:Hordeum vulgare subsp. vulgare, WGS project CAJW01000000 data, contig: morex_contig_1576539